UGGCUGGCGGCGCGGAUUCAAACCGGAGCGCGGGGCCGUUGGGGCUGCGCGCGCCGCUGGGGCCGGAGCCGCGGCCCAGGAGGAUGGAGAUUACCAUGGUGAACCUGCGGGGUCUGUACGAGCAGCUCACGCGCCAGGCCGAGUUUCUGAGCGAAGGAAACGAAUGCCAGUUUAUUCAGUUAGCCAAGAACUUUGAGGAGAACCGGAGGAAAUGGCAGAAAAUAGAGCAGGAGCUCAGCAGGUACAAAGAUCUCCUCAUGAAGACAGAAGCUGAGCGCAGUGCCCUGGACGUGAAACUGAAACACGCCCGCAAUCAGGUGGAUGUGGAGAUCAAACGGAGGCAAAAAGCUGAAAUGGACUGUGAGAAGCUGGAGCGGCAAAUCCAGCUGAUUCGGGAGCUGCUCAUGUGUGAUGCCUCCGGCAGCAUCCAGCUCAGCGAGGAGCAGAAGUCUGUCCUCGCCUUCCUGAACAGGCCACAGGCUUCUGUGGGAAGUGCAGGCAACAAAAGGCUGUCUACAAUAGAUGAAUCUGGCUCAAUUCUGUCAGACAUCAGCUUUGACAAGAGCGAUGACUCACUGGACUGGGAUUCUUCCGUGGUGAAAGCUGUUAGGCUGAAGAGGAGAGAGAAGCGGCGCUCUUCCAGGCAGUUUGCUGAAGGCCCCCCAGCUCCUCAGAAGAAAUCCAGAUCUAUCAGCAACACAGCAGACCAGGCUAAUGAAUCCAUAGUAGCAAAGACCACUGUGAUGGUCCCCAAUGACGGUGGCCCAAUUGAAGCCAUUUCUACCAUCCAGACUGUGCCUUACCCUCGGAGGAGCCGGAGGAAGAGCGGUCCUUUGCAGCCCUGGAACAGCGAGUCCAGCAUAGGCAGUAAGCAGCUGGAGUCCAAGCUGGACACUGAUGGCUCCAGCACCCCACAGCACAACAGCGGAGUGAGGCUGCACGACUUUGUUUCAAAAACGGUUAUCAAGCCAGAAUCGUGUGUUCCUUGUGGAAAGAGAGUCAAGUUUGGGAAGAUCUCUCUGAAGUGCAGAGACUGCCGGGUGGUGGCUCACCCGGAGUGCCGGGAGCGCUGCCCCCUGCCCUGCAUCCCCACGCUGACGGGCACUCCGGUCCGCAUCGGGGAGGGCACCUUGAUGGAUUUUGUCCCUUCUACUCCUCCAAUGAUCCCUUCCAUCAUCGUGCACUGUGUUAAUGAGAUUGAGCAACGAGGGCUGCAUGAGACAGGUAUUUACCGUGUCUCUGGCUGUGACAAGACUGUGAGGGAACUGAAGGAGAAGUUUCUCAGAGCAAAGAACAUUCCUUUGCUCAGUAAAGUGGACGAUAUCCACGCCAUCUGCGGCCUUCUCAAGGACUUCCUGCGCAGCCUGAAAGAGCCCCUUCUCACUUUCCGGUUAAACAAGACUUUCAUGGAAGCUGCAGAAAUCCCGGAUGAGGACAACAGCAUUGCUGCUAUGUACCAAGCAGUUGGAGAACUUCCUCAGGCCAAUAGGGACACGUUGGCUUUCCUCAUGGUCCACCUGCAGAGGGUGGCUCAGAGCCCGGACACUAAAAUGGACAUCUCCAAUUUGGCCAAAGUCUUUGGCCCCACAAUAGUCGCCCAUGCGGUACCAGAUCCUGACCCCAUGACCCUCCUGCAGGACACGAAGCGUCAGCCCAAGGUUGUGGAGCGACUCCUGCUGCUGCCCAUGGACUACUGGAGCCAGCUGAUGAUGGUGGAGCAGGAGAACAUUGACCCAGCACACGUGAUUGAGAACACCAAUGCCUAUUCCACUCCACGGACACCUGAGGUUCAAGUGAGCAUCCUGGGGCCUCUCACCACCCCGGAGCAUCAGCUCUCCAAGACGCCCUCAUCCAGCUCCCUGUCCCAGAGGGUCCGCUCCACCUUCAGCAAGACCACCCCCAAAUUUGGGAGCAAAAGCAAGUCAACAACCCAGCUUGGGCAUCAGGGUAACUUCUUUGCCUCUCCUAUGCUGAAGUGAAGACCUGGGAGUUGGUCUUGUCCUGGCAUUUGCACACCAAUGCUCACCAGUAGAAGAAAUACAGGAACAGCUCCAGCUGCUUUUUUUAUUACAGGACCUGAGUGCAGGAAAGGGGCAAAGACUCUUUUACACCAAGGAUGCUGCUGAGAAAUUGAGAGGUCUGACAGGAGACUCUGCAGAGCCUGCUGGGCACACAGAGGAAGACUCACAGUUCCUGUCACCCUGGAAGAGUGAAAACCAUGGUGACCCUGAGACACCUCCUACAGAGGGAAUCUGC